rnacentral:lncRNA from 1 species
CCAAGACCUGGCGGCCUGGGGGGGCAGAUGCCCGGGAGGCAGCUGCGGGGGCCAGGCUGGGCUGGGGUCCAGGCCCCCCCACACCCAGGCCUGCAAGUGCUCACUGUCGAAGCAGAGGGAGGCCUCGACCUCCCCGGGGGCAAAACCCAGGUGCGAGCAGGAGCGGAGCCGUCUGUGCGCCAGCGAGCCUGGACUGCGGGGCCUGCGUGGGGCACCCGGCUGGACGGGGCGGCGCAGGGGACUGCCAGGCCACCACUGGGUGCUGCUGGGGAUGUUGGCUGCGCCCGCUGGGCGUCUGCGCAAAGGAGGUGGAGCGACGGGCCCCCCGGGCCCACUUUUCCUGUGGCCCAGACGCUCUUGGAGAGGGUGGGCGUCCGGAGAGAGGGCCGCGGACGCAGGGGGGGGGGGGGGGGCUGGCAGGUGUGAGGGCAGGUGGCCGCCAGGCAACGUUAGCAAGUGGGGGCACGGGGCACAGGGUGUGACCCGGCUGCGGGGGGCAACGGACGGCAGACAGACACGGGCGCUGACCCUGAAGCCUCAGCAGCCAGGCGGACGUGCACCGUCCCCUCCUCCCCCUGCACCUCCUCUUCCUCCCCCUACACCCCCACCCCUCCUCCCCUUGCACCUCUUCUUCCUCCUCUGCACCCCUCCCCUCCUCCCCCUGCACCUCCUCUUCCUCCCCCUCACCUCCUCUUCCUCCCCCUACACCCCCGCCCCUCCUCCCCCUGCACCUCUUCUUCCUCCUCUGCACCCCUGCCCCUCCUCCCCUUGCACCUCCUCUUCCUCCCCCUGCACCCCUCCCCUCCUCCCCCUGCACCCCUCCCUUCCUCCCCCUGCACCUCCUCUUCCUCUCCCUGCACCCCUCCCCUCUUCUCCUGCACCCCUGCCCCUCCUCCCCCUGCACCUCUUCUUCCUCCUCUGCACCCCUGCCCCUCCUCCCCUUACACCUCCUCUUCCUCCCCCUGCACCCCUCCCCUCCUCCCCUGCACCCCUGCUCCUCCUCCCCCUGCACCUCCUCUUCCUCCCCUUCACCUCCUCUUCCUCCCCCUACACCCCCACCCCUCCUCCCCCUGCACCUCUUCUUCCUCCCCUGCACUUCUGCCCCUCCUCCCCUGUACCUCCUCUUCCUCCCCCUGCACCCCUCCCCUCCUCCCCUGCACCUCCUCUUCCUCCCCCUACACCCCUGCCCCUCCUCCCCCUGCACCCCCCUCUCCUCCCCUUGAACCCCAGCCCCAGCACAGGCUUUUCCAAAGGGCAGGGAGGACCCGGGGCAUCUCUGAGCAUGGUCAUCUCGGUGCUGGACUUCCCUGAGUGCCGGUUGUCUGAGGCCGUGUGCAGGAGCCGCUUGCUGGACUCGCUGGAGCGAGGGCUCAGAUUGGACGCCAGACCUCCUGUCCUUGCCCUGAGCUGA